AUUGAACGCUGGCGGCAGGCCUAACACAUGCAAGUCGAGCGAGCGGCGGACGGGUGAGUAAUGUAUGGGAAACUGCCUGAUGGAGGGGGAUAACUACUGGAAACGGUAGCUAAUACCGCAUACCAUCGGAUGUGCCCAGAUGGGAUUAGCUAGUAGGUGGGGUAAAGGCUCACCUAGGCGACGAUCCCUAGCUGGGCUGAGAGGAUGACCAGCCACACUGGAACUGAGACACGGCCCAGACUCCUACGGGAGGCAGCAGUGGGGAAGAUUGCACAAUGGGCGCAAGCCUGAUGCAGCCAUGCCGCGUGUAGGAAGAAGGCCUUCGUGUUGUAAAGUACUUUCAGCGGGGAGGCGUUACCCGAAGAAGAAGCACCGGCUAACUCCGUGCCAGCAGCCGCGGUAAUUC
rnacentral:rRNA from 1 species